UUGGUUUCAAGUAGAUCAUACCUGUUUAACCAUCGACAAAGUUGUGGAUUUACCUUGUCGAUGGUUAAACAGGUAUGAUCUACUUG